AGAAAGGACCACAUCUGAGUUACUGUGCUUU
rnacentral:piRNA from 1 species